GAUGAACGCUGGCGGCGUGCCUAAUACAUGCAAGUCGAGCGAACGGACGAGAAGCUUGCUUCUCUGAUGUUAGCGGCGGACGGGUGAGUAACACGUGGAUAACCUACCUAUAAGACUGGGAUAACUUCGGGAAACCGGAGCUAAUACCGGAUAAUAUUUUGAACCGCAUGGUUCAAAAGUGAAAGACGGUCUUGCUGUCACUUAUAGAUGGAUCCGCGCUGCAUUAGCUAGUUGGUAAGGUAACGGCUUACCAAGGCAACGAUGCAUAGCCGACCUAAGAGGGAGGUGAGAAGCACUUUGAAUGUGACACGGACGAGCAUACUACGCGAGGGAGCAGUACAGAAUCUUACCAGAUGGGCGAAAGCGUGACGAUCCUACACCGUCUGAAUGAUUAAAAUCGCAAGACUCUACACAUCGACUAGCAGGAAAGAACACAGGAGUAAGCCAAAAUGCGCAACUCGCCGGUACAUCAACAGAAAGCAAAGUCAAACUCCAAG
rnacentral:rRNA from 1 species